rnacentral:piRNA from 1 species
UGGUUUUGGUGCAUUGUGUUCUGGAGGCGU